AUUAAGGUCUAUGCAAAUUUUUGCCAAUUCCCAUACACGACUUAAUAGAAAAAAUGAAAACAAAGACAUGGUUCCUACUUCAAGGGUUGAAAUAAUCUUUGACGGUGCAAGUUAUCUUUCUAUACACUAAAGUUAAGGUCGAACUAUUUGUUCCUUUUAGUCAAUGUUUCAGAUGUUUCAGAUUUGGUCAUUUUGUCCAACACUGCAAACAAAAUCAUGAAAUUAGUCGAGAUUGUUCCUUCUUGCAUUCAAGAGAGGAAAAAUAUGUCGUUUUAAAGUGCGCAAAUUGCAAACAGCCUCAUUCUGCCACAGAGCUUAAUUGUCCGGCUAGAAAGAGUGCUUUUGCUACACCCAGAUAAAAAAGAACGAAAAAAAUCAAGGACAUUUUAAAUGAAAUGCGAACAAUCCGUUCUCCAUUUUUAGUUCUCACAUUUCGAACGUUUGUCACGAAAGUCGAACGGUGUUGGUAACCAUUUCUACCGACGAACAACUUGGUUCCAAAUUGCGAAAAAUGUUCUCAGAUAUCGAACGCCGUUCAUGAAAAAGCUGCGAUAGACGCGUUAAAGUCUAUUGAAAUCGAUAAAUUAUCAACAUCGUUCAUAAAAACAUGUAUGUAGGUCUAGUGUCCCGAUUGUCCGCACUCGAAAAAUUCGCUCGGUGGUCCAGCUGCUAGAGCGUCCGCCUCCGACACAUGGUAGCACAGUUUCGAGUCCGCGAGAAGACCGUUGUGAAUUCAAAAUAUCCAAAAUACAUUGAAUUCUAGCAAUAACAAAACAUAAGGUGGGAAAUUAAAUAAAUCCCUACCAGGCGUCCACAAAGUCUAGCGUGUACACAAACCUCGUUUUUUUUUUAGAUUUUUAUGUUCUCAGGUUAAGCCCGAAAUGUUCUUAAGCUGACACCAUUCGUUCGGAACCCGACCCUAAAGUUUCGGUCACAUUUUACGAACGACCGUUCAUGAACUGUCAACAAACGGGCUCACGCACUUUUUGACAACGAUUGGUCUUGAUUUUUGAACGUUUCGAACGGAUUUUUUUCUGGGUGUAUACAAAAAUGCAUGACAGUCGGAAAAUCUUUCUGGAGUAGAAGUUAAAACCAAAUUCCCUGCCUUAUUUGAAAAGCAAUCCACUAACUCUUGCGAAAUUUUAAAUUCCUCGGAUUUCCCUCUACUACAGACCCAGAAAAAAUCUGCCAUACCUGUGAUGCAAAACAAUAGCACGGCUGCUGCAGAAAACAUUCACAAUUUUAUUCCCUACAAUAAAGUACACUCAGAGAAAAAACCAAGCACAUUGGGCUUCUUUAAAGCCCAAAUGGUCACAAAACUUCGACAGGUACGAAAUGGGCUUGUUUUUUCAUUUCAAGAACGUUUUGUUCUUAAACCGGUAUUCUUAAUUUGAGAACAUUUUCGGGCGAAAUUAAGUGUGUGUUCUACUUGAUUUAAGUAAGAAAUCUUCUUUAUUUAAGUAUAAAUACAACUUUAUUUUAGUAUGAAUUGUACUUUAAUUAAGUUUAAGAAUUCGCAAAUCAAGUAUGAAUUGUACUAAAAUGAAAUAUAAUUAAGUCCGUAAUAUAGCCAUAUUUAUUCUUAAAACAGGUCUAAAAUAUUCUUAAAUGAACCAUGGCCAAUGCUUAUAUCGAGAUGAUAUGCAGCUUGCAUCAAAAAUAUAUAAUUUUCACUUUAAGCUGGACUUAGUCUUCAGAAAAGAAUUAUUCAUACUACACUCAAGAACAGUAUGUACUCAUUUUAACUAUUAAAAUGCAUUAUCUUUAACAUAACUUGGUCUUAUAAUAAGAACAAAUCAUGCUCCAUUAAAGAGUUUACAAUUCCAUAUUCCAGCCGAAAAA